rnacentral:rRNA from 1 species
AUUGAACGCUGGCGGCAGGCCUAACACAUGCAAGUCGAACGGUAACAGGAAACAGCUUGCUGUUUCGCUGACGAGUGGCGGACGGGUGAGUAAUGUCUGGGAAACUGCCUGAUGGAGGGGGAUAACUACUGGAAACGGUAGCUAAUACCGCAUAGCGUCGCAAGACCAAAGAGGGGGACCCUCGGGCCUCUUGCCAUCGGAUGUGCCCAGAUGGGAUUAGCUUGUUGGUGGGGUAACGGCUCACCAAGGCGACGAUCCGUAGCUGGUCUGAGAGGAUGACCAGCCACACUAGAACUGAGACACGGGCCAGACUCCUACGGGAGGCAGCAGUGAGGAAUAUUGAACAGUAGGCGCAAGCCUGAUGAAUCCAUGCCGCGAGUAUGAAGAAGGCCUUCGGGUUGUAAAGUACUUUCAGCGGGGAGGAAGGGAGUAAAGUUAAUACCUAUGCUCAUUGACGUUACCCGCAGAAGAAGCACCGGCUAACUACGUG